AUAUUGCACAAUGGAGGAAACUCUGAUGCAGCGACGCCGCGUGAGUGAUGAAGGCCUUCGGGUCGUAAAGCUCUGUCGCAGGGGAAUAACACAAUGAAGGUACCCUGUAAGAAAGGAUCGGCUAACUUCGUGCCAGCAGCCGCGGUAAGACGAGGGAUCCUAGCGUUGUUCGGAAUCAUUGGGCGUAAAGCGGGUGUAGGUGGCUUUGUAAGUCGAGUGUGAAAGCCUGGGGCUCAACCCCAGAAGUGCAUUCGAUACUGCGAAGCUUGAGUGGUAGAGAGGUUAGUAGAAUUGUUGGUGUAGUGGUGAAAUACGUAGAUAUCAACAGGAAUACCGGAGGCGAAGGCGGCUAACUGGCUACACACUGACACUCAGACCCGAAAGUGCGGGGAUCAAACAGG
rnacentral:rRNA from 1 species